GACUCGCUAGCUCAGCAGGUAGAGCACCUGACUUUUAAUCAGGGGGUCGCGGGUUCGAAUCCCGCGCGAGUCACCA
rnacentral:tRNA from 18 species